rnacentral:rRNA from 1 species
GACGACGCUGGCGGCGUGCCUGACACAUGCAAGUCGGACGGUUCUUGUAUCUUCAAGCUUGCUUGCAGGUGCAAGGAUAGUGACGGACGGGUGAGUAACGCGUGAACAUCUACCCAUUGGAGGGGGACAACCCGUCGAAAGGCGGGCUAAUACCGCGUAAGCCGCGAGGUGAGAGGCUGCCUAUUGGUGGCCGCCGAUGGAUGGGUUCGCGUCCUAUCAGCUGGUUGGUGGGGUAACGGCCUACCAAGGCGAAGACGGGUAGCCGGUCUGAGAGGAUGGCCGGCCACACUGGAACUGAGACACGGUCCAGACUCCUACGGGAGGCAGCAGUGGGGAAUAUUGGGCAAUGGGGGAGACCCUGACCCAGCGACGCCGCGUGAGGGAUGAAGGUUUUCGGAUCGUAAACCUCUGUUGUACGGGAAGAAGAAAGUGACGGUACCUCCGGAGGAAGCCACGGCUAACUACGUG